AAAAAGUUGAGUUUGGUGAUGGCUCUGAUUGAAUGCUGUCCAAGUGCUUGACACAUGCUAAUCGUACGUUUUAAUUAUAGUAUUAUACUUUAAUUAAAAAGUGGUGUACAGGUGAGUAUAAUGAUAUUCUUCGCCGGCCUUAAAGCGAAGGUAAAUCCUUCAUAAUAAAUAAAGGAAUGGUAAUUUCUGGCUAUUAAGCAGUAAUAAGCUAAGCCGUAAUUACCGUGAAAUUCCGCUUUAAGAGGAUAAUAAAUAUCUUCGAGAUAGGUAGUAGUUAAGGUGAUGACUUAACUAGCCUAAAACUCUCGUAGUCGAAGCUGAAAGGUUGAUCGACCACAUUGGGUCUGAAAAAACCCCAAUGCAAGUUAGUACAGCAGUGAGGAAUCUUGGUCAAUGGCCUAACGGCUGAACUGGCAACUUGGAGAAGUGGUAAGUUUUAAAAUUAAUAGUUAAUACAACGCAAGUUGCACUAUUAGUAUAAAAUUCUAUUAGAAUUGAAUGAAGCUUUGUUUAUAUAUUGAUAAUGACAGUAUAUAUAUUGUGUCUUGACCAAUUACGUGCCAGCAGUCGCGGUAAUACGUAAGAGACUAGUGUUAUUCAUCUUAAUUAGGUUUAAAGGGUACCCAGACGGUCAAUAUAGCUUCUAUAAUGUUAGUACUUGACUAGAGUUUUAUGUAAGAGGGCAGUACUUGAGGAGGAGAGAUGAAAUUCCGUGAUACCAAAGGGACUCUGUAAAGGCGAAGGCAGCCCUCUAUGUAUAAACUGACGUUGAAGGACGAAGGCACAGAGAACAAACAGGAUUAGAUACCCUAAUAGUCUUUGCAGUAAAUGAUGAAUGCCAUAGGUCAGCAUGGGAUUAUAUGAGUAAAUAAUACUCUUCCCUUGGUCUAUAAAUGAAAGUGUAAGCAUUUCACCUCAAGAGUAAUGUGGCAACGCAGGAACUGAAAUCACUAGACCGUUUCUGACACCAGUAGUGAAGUAUGUUGUUUAAUUCGAUGAUCCACGAAAAACCUUACCACAAUUUGAAUAAUUAUAUUACAGGAGUUGCACGGCUGUUUCCAGUUAAUGUUGUGAAACUGUGGUUUCCAUGAAAUUAACGUAAUCCCUGGCUUUAUUUUUAUAAGUUCAUUGCAGCUAUUACGAUAAAGCAUUCGAUCCUGGAAAUUUGGAAAGAGAAAGGGGACAAAGACAAGUCAUCAUGGCCUUGAUAUUGUGGGCUAUAGACGUGCCACAUAUACCUAAACAAAGAGAUGCAAAAAUGUGAAUUUAAGCUAAUCUCAAAAAAUAGGAUAUAAAUUUUAAGGAUUAUAGUCUGAAAUUCGACUAUAUGAAUAAGUAAUUACUAGUAAUCGUGAAUCACCAUGUCACGGUGAAUAUAGCUUGGAUUGGUACUAACCACUCGUCACAUGCUGAAAGGAGCAUGCGCAAUAAGUUUGCUUUCUUAAUAACAAGUAAAAAAAACAAGUAAGUUUUAUAUAUUCUUCUAUUGGGAAUCUUCGUAUGCGUGGCUCUAAUUAGUGUUAAGUCGAAAUACGGUUCGCGUAGUGGAAGUUGCGCGGGAUAAAUUAAUUUUAACAAUAAAAUCCUUUGCUUUAUAAAAAGCAAAAAAUCUGAAUAGGAUAUAGUAAAUCUAUUAUAAGGUAACUAUUUCGGUUCGAAUCCGAAGCAGGUUAAAUAACAAUAUUUGGUUAUAUCACAAAUAUAGGGAACACAAUUAGUGCUUAAGGGUUGUACCCUUUUAGUAUAUUAAUAUUUUAAUCAUGUAAAUCCGAGUUCGCUUGCAUGAGUUAGUAUACUGGUUAUCCUUAAUCUACAGGUUUACCUGCUGUAGACAUUAUAAGGUUGUAUUGAAUCUAAUAGACUUAAUAAGAUAUAAUUAGUCGUUUAUUAGUUGAACAUCGUACUUAAAACCUUAGACUUUAAAGAACGGGUAAAAUAUUUAUAAUAAAAAAUGAAACUAAAAACAGAAACUAUUCUUAAAACAUAUGUAGAAUGUGCAUCUUUAGAUGUAAAAAAGAUGAUUUUCAAGGACAAUCUAAAGAUGCCUGGUAUAUAUCGUUGAGUUAAUUUAAUUAACAGUGACACAUAUAUUGGUAGUGCUGUAGAUUUAACUAAAAGACUACGUGAUUAUCUUGCACCACGUUGACUAGAAAAAGAAAUACUUAAACAUAAUAGUAUUAUAUAUAGAGCUUUAAUAAAGUAUGGUUAUAGCAAUUUUAGAUUAGAAAUUUUAGAAUAUUGUGAUAAAUCUCAAACUAUAAUGAGAGAACAGUAUUAUAUAGAUAAAUAUCAACCUACUUACAAUAUCUGUAAAAUAGCAGGUUCUUCUUUAGAUCGUAUAACAAGGGACACAACUAGAUUAAAACUACGUAAUGCCUGGUUAAUCAGAUUAUAUAGAGAUAACCCGAACAAGUUAGGAUUUUCUAACUUCGUAUUAAACUAUUUUAUAAGUAAAGUAGCUAAGUUAGAGUAUAAUAUACAAACAAUACAAAAAAAGAUCGAUUUAAUAUUAACUAAUCCUACUGUAUUGAAGCAAUCUCAUGCUAUUCGUUUAAAAAAGUUGAAAGGAAGUCCUACAGCUGAAUAUGUAUUUGUUACAGACUUAAUAACAGGAAUAACAACUAAGUAUUUAUCAGCUAGAAGCGCAGCUUUAGCACUAAACUCUAGUAAUUCUACUAUUAUGAAUAAAUUGAAAAGAAAAAAUAUUAAACCUUACAAAGGUAGAUAUUUAAUUACAAAAGAAAGUAGUGGUAUUACUAAAGUGUAGUGGAAGUUGCACGGGAUAAAUUAAUUUU
rnacentral:rRNA from 1 species